rnacentral:ribozyme from 13 species
UUUUUUUUCUUCUUCUUGUUCUUUUCCUUCCCUUUCCCUUUCCCUUCUCCCUUUUCUUCCCUUCACAAUGAAAAAAGCUGAUGGAGGAGUGGGUGGGGGAUGGAUGAAGAAAGAAACUCU